GACAGAGGGUGCAAACGUUGCUCGGAAUUACUGGGCGUAAAGCGCGUGUAGGCGGUCUGCUAAGUUGGAUGUGAAAACUCUGGGCUUAACCCAGAGCCUGCAUUCAAUACUGACAGGCUAGAGUUCUGGAGGGGAUAGCGGAAUUCCUGGUGUAGCGGUGAAAUGCGUAGAUAUCAGGAGGAACACCGGUGGCGAAGGCGGCUAUCUGGACAGAGUCUGACGCUGAGGCGCGAAAGCUAGGGGAGCAAACAGG
rnacentral:rRNA from 1 species